UGGCCUACGGGAGGCAGCAGUGAGGAAUAUUGGUCAAUGGGCGCAGGCCUGAACCAGCCAAGUAGCGUGAAGGAUGACUGCCCUAUGGGUUGUAAACUUCUUUUAUAUGGGAAUAAAGUUUUCCACGUGUGGAAUUUUGUAUGUACCAUAUGAAUAAGGAUCGGCUAACUCCGUGCCAGCAGCCGCGGUAAUACGGAGGAUCCGAGCGUUAUCCGGAUUUAUUGGGUUUAAAGGGUGCGUAGGCGGUCCGUUAAGUCAGCGGUAAAAUUGCGGGGCUCAACCCCGUCGAGCCGUUGAAACUGGCA
rnacentral:rRNA from 1 species